UCAGGUUUAAUACGUGUUGCCUUUUGCCC
rnacentral:piRNA from 1 species